rnacentral:rRNA from 1 species
AUUGAACGCUGGCGACAUGCCUUACACAUGCAAGUCGAACGGCAGCACGGGUGCUUGCACCUGGUGGCGAGUGGCGAACGGGUGAGUAAUACAUCGGAACAUGUCCUUUAGUGGGGGAUAGCCCGGCGAAAGCCGGAUUAAUACCGCAUACGAUCUACGGAUGACAGCGGGGGACCUUCGGGCCUCGCUCUAUAGGGUUUGCCGAUGGCUGAUUAGCUAGUUGGUGGGGUAAAGGCCUACCAAGGCGACGAUCAGUAGCUGGUCUGAGAGGACGACCAGUCACACUGGGACUGAGACACGGCCCAGACUCCUACGGGAGGCAGCAGUGGGGAAUUUUGGACAAUGGCGAAAGCCUGAUCCAGCAAUGCCGCGUGUGUGAAGAAGGCCUUCGGGUUGUAAAGCACUUUUGUCCGGAAAGAAAUCCUUGGCCCUAAUACGGUCGGGGGAUGACGGUACCGGAAGAAUAAGCACCGGCUAACUACGUG